AUGGAGCGGCAACCUCCGCCGCCUCCCGCCGUGGAGACGCACUUCGCCGAUCUCUGCAAGGAAUUGGAAGUGGACGAGGGCGUCGCUAGCGAGGCCGCGGCGUUGCUGGAGGAGGGGAAGGGCGUGUUUCUCACGUCCCCUUCGUUUGGGAGCAAAUCGCCCGAGGAUGUGGAGAGGCUAUGUUUUGCUUUCGUGCUUUACUGCGUGGCUAAGCUGAAGGGAAAGGGGAUGAAGCAGGAGAGCUCCAGGUUUAGGCUGUGGAAGAUCUUGGAGGGAUGCAAACUCAAGUACAAUGAUUUCUUCAAGGAAUCACAGCAGCUUCUUUCGAAGAUUGACCAUGUUUUACGCGGCCGGUAUGGGACGGAUUGGGAAGAUCAGCUAGAGCUGAAACAACUACAGAGUUUGGUAAAUCUGUUGGCAGAUGCAAGCAGGUUCUAUUGUAAAGCAUUUAAUGAGCUAUUCUUAAGUGCUAGUACUGGCCAGGAGCCUGGAUCGACUAAAAGUAAUCCUGAAUAUUUUUGUUUUGGGUGGCUAAUUUUCUUAGCCCUCCGUUCAAAAUCACCAGAAUUGUUUAAGGACUUGGUAUCCUGCAUCCAUGGAUUAGUUGCCAUAUUGGCCAUACUUUUAAUUCAUGUACCUGCUAAAUUUAGGAGCUUCACAAUCGAAGGUUCUUCUCACUUAAUAAAACAAACGGUGAGGGGUGUUGAUCUCCUUGCUUCGUUAUGUCAUAACUAUCAUACCUCUGAAGACCGCUUGAGAGAAAUGAUGGGGAAGUUCCACAAGGCUAUAGAGGAGUUUUUCAGCACGAAAGCAGUAAGGGCUUCAGAGUGCAAAACAGAAACUUUGGACAAAAUAGAUACAGAUGGUCUAAUUUAUUUCAGAGAUCUCCUUGAUAAGGAGUGUUUUCAUUCAAAUUUUGAGAAGUUGGAGAAGCUAAGUAGUACCACUAGCUGGGAAGGGGAGCUUGAUUUGAAAAGGUUUUUGAUCAAUAAUGACAAUAUAAUCAGUGCGGAGAACUCUUCUAGAGAUUUCACUAAUCUAAGCUGCCCAAAGCGUGUCUUUGAAACAUUAGCGUCGCCUACAAAGACAAUAAAGAACAUGUUGACUGUCCCUAGUUCGCCUUCAUCACCUGCCAAUGGUGGUUCAGUUAAGGUAGUGCAGAUGACACCAGUGACCUCUGCCAUGACAACUGCUAAGUGGCUUCGUGAGGUGAUAUCUUUGUUGCCAGAGAAGCCUUCGUCUAAGCUUGAGAAAUUUCUUUCGUCUUGUGAUACAGAUUUGACAAGUGAUGUAACAAAAAGGGUCAGCAUAAUUUUGGAAGUAAUUUUUCCAACUAAGCCUUCUGGCCAUUGGAGUGGUUCCAUGGGCCUGAAUUGUACAAAUGCCUUCGAUAUUCCAUGGGCCCAAGCAAGAAAAAUGGAGGCCUCCAAGUUGUACUAUAGGGUGUUGGAGGCAAUUUGCAGAGCAGAAUCACUCAAUACUAAUGUAAAUAAUCUGACUCCAUUGUUGUCAAAUGAGCGUUUUCACCGAUGCUUGAUUGCAUGUUCAGCCGAACUGGUUUUGGCAACACAUAAGACAGUUAUCAUGAUGUUCCCUGCUGUCUUGGAGAGUACUGGUCUAACUGCAUUUGAUUUGAGCAAGAUAAUUGAGAACUUCGUGAGACAUGAAGAAAGCCUUCCAAGAGAAUUGAAAAGACAUUUAAAUUCAUUAGAAGAACAGCUUUUGGAAAGCAUGGCGUGGGAGAAAGGUUCAUCACUGUAUAAUUCAUUGGUUGUUGCCAGGCCAUCACUUGCUUCGGAAAUAAAUCGCCUUGGUCUUUUGGCUGAAUCAAUGCCAUCUCUUGAUGACAUAGUAGCAAGGCAGAAUUUCCAUGCUGAAGACUUGCCAGCUACACCAUCUAAAAAACGGGCUGCCUAUUCAGAUGAGAAUGGUGACAGUAGGUCACCAAAGAGAUUAUGCAUUGAACCGAGGAGCACACUGGUAGACCAAAUUUCACAGACACCACCAGCAAAACAAAGCUAUACUUUGAAAGCGAAAUGGCGUCCUCUCCAGUCAACAUUUGCAAGUCCCACUGUCAGCAAUCCGGUUGGCGGGAAUGAAAAAUGUGCUGAAGUAGGGGUUCACAUCUUCUUCUCCAAAAUCUUGAAGUUGGCUGCUAUUAGAAUAAGGAACCUGUGUGAAAGGCUUCGGCAUGUGGAACAGACAGAGCGUGUCUAUAAUAUCUUCAAGCAGAUUCUUGAUCAACAGACAACUUUAUUUUUUAAUCGACACAUUGAUCAGCUUAUUCUUUGUUCUCUCUAUGGUGUUGCAAAGGUUUCUCAGUUAACACUGACGUUCAAGGAGAUUGUCAACAAUUACAAAAGGGAACAGCAAUGUAUACCAGAAGUUUUUAGAAGUGUCUUUGUUGUGAAUACAAAUCACAAUGGAGGACUUGGAUCACGCCAUGUUGACAUCAUUGUUUUUUAUAACGAGGUGUUUGUUCCAGCGAUCAAGCCUUUCCUGGUGGCAUUAAUCCCUUCUGGUGGUGCUCAUCCAGACAACAAGAAGAAUCCUAAUAGCCAAAUUCCUGGAUCACCAAAGUCACCCCCCUUCUCAAAUCUACCAGAUAUGUCCCCAAAGAAAGUCUCAUCUUCCCAUAAUGUUUAUAUUUCUCCUCUGCGGCAAACCAAGAAGGAUGCAUUGCUUUCACCAAGUUCGAGGAGUUUUUAUGCUUGCAUCGGCGAAAGCACACAUGCUUAUCAGAGCCCAUCUGAAGAUUUGGCCGCUAUAAAUAAUUGUCUAAAUUACACCAGCAGGAGAAUCAACACUCGAAUAAACUUUGACAUGGUUAGUGAUUCAGUGGUAGCUGGCAGUCUGGGCCAACCAAAUGGUGUCCCUGCCUCUUCGGAUCCUGCAGGUUCAUUCAGUUUCUUGUCAAGGAAGGACAACUCAGGACCAGAUUCUUGA
rnacentral:rRNA from 1 species